CCUACGGGAGGCAGCAGUAAGGAAUAUUGGUCAAUGGACGAAAGUCUGAACCAGCCAUGCCGCGUGAAGGAUGAAGGCCCUCUGGGUUGUAAACUUCUUUUACAGGGGACGAAAAAAGGGAAUUCUUUCUCACUUGACGGUACCCUGGGAAUAAGCACCGGCUAACUCCGUGCCAGCAGCCGCGGUAAUACGGAGGGUGCAAGCGUUAUCCGGAUUCACUGGGUUUAAAGGGUGCGUAGGUGGGUCUGUAAGUCAGCGGUGAAAUCUCCGGGCUUAACCCGGAAACUGCCAUUGAUACUAUAGAUCUUGAAUUGUCUGGAGGUAAGCGGAAUAUGUCAUGUAGCGGUGAAAUGCUUAGAUAUGACAUAGAACACCAAUUGCGAAGGCAGCUUACUACGGAUUGAUUGACACUGAGGCACGAAAGCGUGGGGAUCAAACAGGAUUAGAUACCCUGGUAGUCCACGCCCUAAACGAUGGAUACUCGACAUUUGUGAUAUACUAUAAGUGUCUGAGCGAAAGCAUUAAGUAUCCCACCUGGGAAGUACGACCGCAAGGUUGAAACUCAAAGGAAUUGACGGCUGAGAGUGCGAGACGACGACGAGGGAGAGG
rnacentral:rRNA from 1 species